GUAGGUGGCAAGCGUUGUCCGGAAUUAUUGGGCGUAAAGCGCGCGCAGGCGGGGUUCGUUUAAGUCUGAUGUGAAAGGCCCACGGGCUCAACCGUGGAGGGUCAUUGGAAACUGGAGAACUUGAGUACAGAAGAGGAAAGCGGAAUUCCACGUGUAGCGGUGAAAUGCGUAGAGAUGUGGAGGAACACCAGUGGCGAAGGCGGCUUUCUGGUCUGUAACUGACGCUGAGGCGCGAAAGCGUGGGGAGCAAACAGGAUUAGAUACCCUGGUAGUCCACGCCGUAAACGAUGAGUGCUAAGUGUUAGGGGGGUUUCCGCCCCUUAGUGCUGCGGCUAACGCAUUAAGCACUCCGCCUGGGGAGUACGGCCGCAAGGCUG
rnacentral:rRNA from 1 species